rnacentral:rRNA from 1 species
CCUACGGGAGGCAGCAGUGAGGAAUAUUGGUCAAUGGGCGCGAGCCUGAACCAGCCAAGUCGCGUGAGGGAUGACGGUCCUACGGAUUGUAAACCUCUUUUGCCGGGGAGCAAGCGUGCGUUCGUGAACGCGUGUCGAGAGUACCCGGAGAAAAAGCAUCGGCUAACUCCGUUCCAGCAGCCGCGGUAAUACGGAGGAUGCGAGCGUUAUCCGGAUUUAUUGGGUUUAAAGGGUGCGUAGGCGGGAUGCCAAGUCAGCGGUAAACAUGCGGUGCUCAACGCCGUCGAGCCGUUGAAACUGGCAUUCUUGAGUGGGCGUGAAGUAUGCGGAAUGCGUGGUGUAGCGGUGAAAUGCAUAGAGAUCACGCAGAACUCCGAUUGCGAAGGCAGCAUACCGGCGCCCGACUGACGCUGAGGCACGAAAGCGUGGGUAUCGAACAGGAUUAGAUACCCCGGUAGUC